GAGGGUGUAGCUCAGUGGUAGAGCGUGUGCCUAGCAUGCAUGAGGUCCUGGGUUCGAUCCCCAGAACCUCCA
rnacentral:tRNA from 1 species